AGAAGUCAAUGCAGUAGAUUAUACCUCUGAAGAAAAAGAAUCUUCUAGUGAAUCUGAUGAUCAAUCAGAAUGUGAUAGAAAUUAUGAUUAUUAUAAAUCUUUGUGUACCUUAAAUGGUUUAUGUGUCCUAACAAAGGAAGAAAGUUUAAUACUGGAUCUCAUAGAUAAGAUUAAAGAUCAAAAAGAAAGAAGAACUAAGUUAGAGGAAGAUUUAAAUUUAUAUAAGGAUAAAAGUCCUUUAGAAAAG
rnacentral:misc_RNA from 1 species